rnacentral:rRNA from 1 species
CCCUUAGAUGUUCUGGGCGGCCCGCGCACUACAUUGGCACUGUCAGCAAGGGUCUGAAACUAAAACUUUUGGGUAUUCUGAGAACCGGUGUCGUGACUGGGAUUGACCCUUGCAAUUAUUGGUUAUGAACGAGGAAUUCCUUGUAAUCGCGGUUUAUCAGCCCGCGUUGAAUGCGUCCCUGCCCUUUGUACACACCGCCCGUCGUUCCUACCGAUGAAUCGUCCGGUGAAGUUCAUGGAGUAGUGGUUGUUCCAUCCGCUGUCGAAGUGAAAUAAACCUCAUGAUUUAGAGGAAGGAGAAGUCGUAACA